UAUCUAGAAAGCCAAUGAAGAUGACCUCUUUUUGCCUUCCAGAUAAAAAUAGUCUUCCUGUAAAAUUAAUUUUUAUCAAUUUCUAGAAAUACGGCAGUGGCAAUAUAAGAUAAAUGUCUUCAACGUUUAGUCUGUAGAUCCUUAACAAUAUUAAGUUAUGUAGAAAGGGACAACCUUAUGUUAUAAAUAGGUUAUCUAUUUUAGUUAAAUUGUUUUCACUAUUCCUUUUAGAAAAUCAUUGGUGUGCCAAAGUGGAGAAAUAGUUAAGUAUUUCUUUUGGGAACUCUUACAGGAUGAAUGGCUAUGAUAUUCUUGAACCUACUUAUGAGAACCCAUAUGUUAUUUAGUUUGAGGAGAUGAAAAGUAAACUGCUUUUAGAGAAAAUGACUGUUUCUGGGAAAUUUAUAGUGCAGUAAACCCUCCUUUGUCUUCAGCAGGUAAAGAAUGUAAGACAGCUGCUCUAGUAGUCAGUUAGGAAGGGAUCCUUUCAGAAUGAGAGUAACUCAUUUCACCUUUUCCCAAAAAGAAGAUUUCAGCUGCUAUUACUCCCUUGCUACUUUAUAGUAUAAAUUAUGUGAAGUCAGUUUUGGUUUGAAUAGGAUUAAUUUUUCAUCUCUCUAUGACAUAUGACCGUGUUACUUAUUAUGUGUUACAGGCAGAAACGUAGUUAUGGACGUUCUCUGAAGUUGCUGAAUGUCCUUGAAGAAUACAUCACAGGUGAGCAGAAAGAUGAAGAAGAAAGAAGAAGGAGCUGAAUGUCCUUGAAGAAUACAUCACAGUUUUGUGCUUCUAGAGAAUAUUUCAAGAGCAACAAAAGAGGUGGCAACAAGAUGGGAAAGGAACUGUGAAAGAGACUGAGCCGCCACAUGAGCAAUUCACAAAGGAAUGAAAAGAAUGUCUGUGCUGAUUAAAGGGAGACAAAACUCUUGGCCCGGGCCCCACGUGGGCCACUUUGUGAGUUAUGUUGGAGGGAGAACAGGCCUCAUCUCCACCCUACAACCAAACCAAUAGCAGAAAAACUGACUUGAACCUGACACUCUCAGAAGCCACUCUUACUCUUAGCCACUACAAUAUUCUGGCUGG